rnacentral:rRNA from 1 species
UACGUAGGGUGCAAGCGUUGUCCGGAAUUAUUGGGCGUAAAGAGCUCGUAGGCGGUUUGUCGCGUCUGCUGUGAAAACUGGGGGCUCAACCCCCAGCCUGCAGUGGGUACGGGCAGACUAGAGUGCGGUAGGGGAGAUUGGAAUUCCUGGUGUAGCGGUGGAAUGCGCAGAUAUCCGGAAGAACACCGGUGGCGAAGGCGGCUCGCUGGGCAGUGGCUGACGCUGAGGCGCGACAGCGUGGGGAGCAAACAGG